GAACGCACCUUGCGCCCUUUGGCUAUUCCGAAGGGCAUGCCUGUUUGAGUAUCAUGAGCACCUCAACUCUCGUGGCUUUGCCCAUGAUGAGCUUGGACUUUGGGGUUCUUUGCUGGCUUACGGUCGGCUCCUCUCAAACGAAUCAGCUUGCCAGUGUUUGGCGGCAUCACAGGUGUGAUAACUAUCUGCGCUUGUGGUUUCCCGCUAGAUAACCUUCAGCGAUGGAGGUUCGCUGGAGCUCAUAAAUGUCUCUCCUCAGCGAGGACAGCACUUUGACUGUUUGAUCUCAAAUCAGGUAGGACUACCCGCUGAACUUA
rnacentral:misc_RNA from 1 species